GAGGUAAAUGAAUUCUUUUCAAGGAAAUCAAACCCAUAUUUAUUCUGUGAAAAUCCUGGAAAUUCUGGCCAUUUUUAUCAACAUUCUUCCUCAUUUGCUAUGUGUUAGUCUCCAGUGGGGUUUCCAGGUGAACAAGUCCCUAAAGAGCUCAAUCAAGUGGGGAAAGAGUCACACAUAUCAACGUUUCACAGCUAAAAUGAUUUGGUGACAGUGAAUACAAUGUGGAGCACAGAGAACAGAGUGACAAAUAACGGCAUUUUCUGAGGUCUCACUGUUGCCCAAGCUGGAUUGCAAUGGCAUCAUCCUAGUUCCCUGCAGCCUAGAACUCCUGAGCUCAAGCAAUCCAUCCGCCUUAGCCUCCUGAGUAGCUGGAACUACAGCGAUGCCGUCUCCUGAGAGGUCCAAGAAUCACCUCAGCACUUUCUUAUGUGCGAUAGGCCAGACCAAGUAAGGGCCUGCCUCACUACUGGAGCCAACUCAGGUGUCCUCCCAAGGCCAGGGAUCUGCAUCACUUCCAGAUUGUUUCGGAAUGAGUCCUGGCAUUGCUGCUACCAAGGUGUAUUUUUAUUGCAGUCUGUAUUACUUUCCUAGGGAUGAUGUAAGAAAGUAUCACAAAAUUAGUGGCUUAAAGCCACAAGAAUGUAUCCUACUGUAGCUCUACAGGCAAGAAGUCAAAAUCAAGCUGUCAGCUGGGCCACAUCCCUCUGAAGGCUCUAUGGAAACAUUUUCCUUGUCUCUUUCAGAUUCUGGUGGCUCCAGUCAUUCCUUGGCUUGUGGCUGUAGAACUGUAAUCUCUGCUUUUGUCUUCACAUGGCCUUCUGCUCUUCUUCCUGUGCCUCUCCUUUGUGUGUCUCUUAUCAGGACACGUGUCAUUGAAUUUAGGACCCAUCUGGUUAACCCACCAAGAUUCUUACUUACACUCACAAAGCUCUUUUUUCAAAUAAAGUCACAUGCAUAGGUUCCAGGAAUUAGGAGGAGGACCUGUAUUUUGGAGAGAUCACCAUUAAACUCACUACACUGUUGUAACAAAUUAUAAACUUAAUGGCUUAAAACAAUAAAAAUUUAUUGUCUUAUA